rnacentral:rRNA from 1 species
GUGAGGAAUAUUGGACAAUGGGCGCAAGCCUGAUCCAGCCAUGCCGCGUGCAGGAAGACGCAUCUAUGGUGUGUAAACUGCUUUUGUACGGGAAGAAACACUCCCUCGUGAGGGAGCUUGACGGUACCGUAAGAAUAAGGAUCGGCUAACUCCGUGCCAGCAGCCGCGGUAAUACGGAGGAUCCAAGCGUUAUCCGGAAUCAUUGGGGUUAAAGGGUCCGUAGGCGGUUUAAUAAGUCAGUGGUGAAAGCCCAUCGCUCAACGAUGGAACGGCCAUUGAUACUGUUAGACUUGAAUUACAAGGAAGUAACUAGAAUAUGUAGUGUAGCGGUGAAAUGCUUAGAUAUUACAUGGAAUACCAAUUGCGAAGGCAGGUUACUACUUGUGGAUUGACGCUGAUGGACGAAAGCGUGGGGAGCGAACAGGAUUAGAAACCCGUGUAGUCC